ACGCGCCCGACAGGUCCCACCUGGCGAGCUCUCAGACGUGUGGACCAAUCAGAACGAGCCGGGCCGCUCGUCACGGGGAAAAUCAAAGUUGUUGUGGGAGCGCGUGUGUGUUUGCCAGCGAGAGGAUCGAGACGGCGAGGAGGAGAAGUGGACGGACCGACCGGCACCAGCCCCAUCCCCAAAAAAAAACACCGUAGCAGAAAGAAGAAGCCCCCCCCCCAAACACACACACACGCGGGAUAUCGCAUCAUCGCGAUGAAAGAUGACUUGACAGUUGCAAACUGCAGCUCUACCUCGUCGGACCGUGGCGAUGUUUAAACCUCUGCGUGCAUAGUACCCCCCCACACCCCCCCGCACCACUGUGGACGUCUCCAUCUGGGACUCGCUUGCCGACGGAGCGUUUGCUGAACCCGAUAUGACGGAGAUCAGCGAAAAGGAGAACGAACCACAGAACCUCCACCGUCCGCCACCGGCCACCGUGCCCAGCCCGCCCGAGACCAAGGUACCCGCCGCGCACCUGCGCCGCCGUGCGCGGUGCUUUCUCAUUUGAUAAAGAAACCGAUAUUAUUAUUAUUAUUAUUAUUAUUUGGAAGUUGAAGCGCGUUCGUCUCGUAAGUUGCUGCUGUUGUCUUUUGAUUUUAAGAAUAGUUUAUUGUUCAUUCUGUCCCACGAAUCUAAUUCUGUGGCGGUUGCGUAAGAGCCGUAAGCCGCUUGUAAUAGCCGCUUUAAUUCUCUAAUUUGUAACUCACCUGACCUCAGAGAGGUCGCAGAGGGCAGAGAUGACUUGACAUAAAGGCGCGUCUGUGUAGGCCCGUGUGUGUCUGUGUAACACAAAUGCUAAGGUUUCCAUUAGUACACCGUGAUGAACCCAUUAAGCCUGUUAUGUGGUUGCUUGCUGAUGAGCUUAAGACAUCCGUAACAUUGUGCAUGUGCAUUAAACAUUGUCGAUACAGCGUCAUCACUCUAGACUUUCUAGGGGCCUUACAUCUUGUCGCAUGGGACCAGGUACCUGGAUGGCGAAGAUGGGGAAGACAUUGAUGACACUCUCUGUGACCCAUGUGUGGUCUUCUGUGCGUUCGCUGCUGGAAUAUAAUCCGCCACCAGACCAGAAGUUAGAGGUGUAAACGGGUUAAUUCAGGAGUUCAUCUUCAAUUGGCGCUCACUACCCCGGAUCACAUGUGCUGCUCAUGUGUGGUCAGGGAUGGAAAAGAAAGCCUUCUUGUUUUAAUGGAUUUGAAAUCCUUAAUAAUAAUAAUUUAGGACUUUUGAGCUUUCUAAUUUCAAUGGGGCUGAUGUUUUAAAACCAGAUACUGCUAGAUGUUGAGUGCUCGGGAGUGCGUAUUGCCUCACACAUUUUCACUUGAAUUAGCACAAACCAGGAAGCGUUUUGUCUCCAGGGCACUUUGCAUCUUUCUUGGUAAAGUAUGAAACCUCUAUACAUCCUAUUUGUAGUGUUUAUUAGCAAAAAAAAAGAAGAUGAGGUGAUCUUUCUUGACAAAAAAGUGUGGUUGAGCUUUAAAUUGAGACAAUAAAUGAUCACAUAAUGGCUGGACCUCAAUCUCCUGUCGCACAUUUUGUUUCUUUAACAAACGAGCGUCAAGAAUGACCCUAAUUGCAGCUGCAACGCAAACAACAAAUCCCAUUAAGGUUAUUAUGGCUUUUGUUUGGGCGACCGCGACGUGGCACCCGAAACAAGGCCGGCAGGUCGGGGGCCCCUCACAGAAGAACACAAUGCAUUGUGGGCGUCGAGCGUGGAUUUACGAGCCAAUCGGCCAGCAGAUGUUUGCCGUGUCUUGCUCUGAAGCGCUCCUCAUCCCCCGCCGGCGAAGAGCGAGGAGGAGGAGAAGUAGAUCAAACGUGUGCUACAACUGCUGUGGGGGGGGGCUCUUUUCACGGCGGCUCAGCUCGAGGCCGUCUCCGGAGCUUCACUCGUCACUCCCCGUCACUCUCAAAUCCCUCUCACCCUCUCCCUCUCUGCGUCUGCCCCCCCCCCCACACCCCUCAUUGGCGUCCGAGUGGGUCUCUCUUCACCGCUCGUCUCCUCAUCAGCUCUCCCUCCCCUCGUCUCUCGCUCUCCAUUCCGUCUGCGUCUCCGCGCCGCCCCUCGGCUCUCUCGGGGGGUGUUUAUCGCAUCGAUAAGUGGGCUCGCCGGCGUCCUGGAGUGGCCGAGGAUGAAUAGUUAUUCCACCUACACCUGGCGGCAAGGUGACGGGUAUUGUUAUUCCUCUCUAAUCACCCGGACAGCGCGCCAUUCAAGGCAUUUGCAUUUAACAGUUGCAGCAGUAACACUGGUGGAAACGUUUGUAAAAUAUAUCUUUAUCAAGAGACAGAAAUGGUUUAUUGACGGUGUGUUACACAUAUAAGAGGAAUCUGGCCUGCCAGACAACUGCAUCACUGAGACUUGAUUAUAAUGCACACAUUGUGGAAGAGUUGUUUAACAUAUUUGUUUUGACAAGCUGUCGUCUCAUCCAGACGUUUCUUUGUUUUUUACAUUCUUCAUUCACCGACGAGAUUUGACAUUUAACCCAUUAAAAGGCAACUUGUCCUUUUUGUUAGUAUGGAUCAAACAAGACACAUAUCAUUAUCGUUGUUAAUUAUUGAGCUUCCGAGUUGAUAGGAAGCUGAUUUUGUCUUUUCGACAGUCAGUCCAGCUGUUCAUGAAAUAAACCAGCUGCUGCAUCACGUUUCCCUCGCCAACGCGACGGCGAUACUGAUCUUCUCAUCCACCUCUCCUUAUGAAAACGAGUGAAUAUUCCUUUAAACUCUUCGUGAAGUUUGAUACCGACACACUGGGAUGGUAUUGAUGAUGAUGCGUAGCAGCGCUGUGCCCCGGGGGGCCAUGGGGGCCCUUCACACAGUCCACCGCCUUCUCAGCCAACACAAAGGCGCUUUUACGAUGUGAAAUGAUGGCAACCGUUUCGCUAACUUUUAUGAUCAGCCCCGAGCAUCAAACUGGGUCAAUUAAAGCCAACUGCUGUACACAUUUUUGGGGGGUUGAUUCCUCUCCUUUAAUCCUCUGAAAUACUUUUCAGAAAUGUGCAAACAUGAAAACAGAGCCCAUUUCAAAUUCUUCUUACUUACAGUUACAGUUAUUAAAACGCAUCAUUAAACGUGCCGCUAUAAAUUGGAUUGUGAUACCGUUGUAUUUGAUUCAUUUUGGGCAGCUUUUGACUGUUUCCUUGUCCAAAGGUAUCAACACUUCUUUAAUGAGCUUUUCCGAUGUGCGUCUGUAACAUGGUUUCACUGUGUAGAUUACAUUGCUGGACAAAGCAUUUUCUGCCACCUUGUGUUUGUUUCUUCAAUAUUUUCAGACACUUCAUGAUGUGCUUGCGUUUCUCCUGCAAGUGUGAUUGACUCGCGCCGCCGACCUUUGACACCAACUGCGGUCAUAAAACAGACGAAGAGAGACGGAGUCACAAUGAAGAAGAGACAAAUAAACAACAAAAAAAGCAAGAAAACACACUGAGAAUGGGACAAAUGUUCCAAGUCAAUCGCGUCCACGCUGUGCUCAUUUAUCCGAUGUUGAGCCAGCACUGUUUGGAUUAAUGAUGAAAUGAUUAAAUUACUCUCCUUGAUCGGGUUAUAAAAUGCUGCUGAUCCAGCAGAAUCCCGGGGUAACAGGAAGAAGAACGGCCUCCAUCCAGUGCUUUGUUUAGGGCUUUGUUUGUCGGACUUGUUUUUAGAGAAAAACUGCACACACUUAGGUCCAAGACAUCUUGAAUAUUUUAGGUUUAAUCUUGAAGAUCACAAGUGAAUCUCUGCUAAAUGUGUAACAAAUCAUUUCAAACACCCCAAUUCGUACCGUUUCUCAACCGCUGUGUUUAAAUCAAAGAGCCCGUUGCCUAAUGCUAACUGCAAAAGCUCCUUGUGCAGUUAAGCCCCUUAAACUGCUGAACGAGGAAAUGCGAGCUUCUCUUGGUCGACACUCGGGGAGGCAUUUAGGAGCCACACAAAGAGCAGUGAAAGUGACAAUGAGAAGAGGAUUGGAGGAUAAUUUACCCCCCGAUUCAUUUUCUUUUUACCUAAACUAGUAGAUCAGUAGUAUGAUCCAUCACAGAGACACCUGUGAUGCCCCAGGUUCAUUUUAGGUUCCCAUUCUCGUCCCAUCUAAUGGCCUACAUCUAUCUUCCCUAAUAAAGUUUAUAUUUGCAUAAGUAAUUUUGGGGAAAAAAGCAGUGGAUGUCAAAGGAGCCAUAUGUCUGAUUGGAUCAACCUACCAAGUGCUUAAAAACUGUUGUGCAAACUUAAUGUCAUUACAUGUCAAUGUGAUUUUGUAAUACUUGACAAAAAAUACCA
ensembl:lncRNA